AAGAUGGCGGCAGCUGGCCAUGCGCAGAGAGGCUGCAACCCGCACUGCGAUCUGAGCGAAAUCCAGGAGCAGCAGAGCUGCGCCCCUCCCCAAGAACUCUCCCGAGAACAUCCCUGCAAGAAGAUCUCUGUAAAGCAGCCACACCCACUAGGGCAUAUGCCAUCAGCUGUCAGGCAGCUUGGAGGCAGCUUUGGAGAACGCAAAGCCAAGAGCCUCUGAACAGCAUACCUGUGACUGUGGUCUGAAGUUGCUAACUGCAGCCACUAAUUGACUAGCAUUGCUUAGUGGUCUCCAGUUCUGUUCACUCUCAAAAUGACACCCAAGCUGUUCAACCUCCUUUUCAAACCCCACUCCUGCAUGAUAAGAUUGGGCUUCCCAGGUGGUGCUAGUGGUAAAGAAUCCACCUGCCAAUGCAGGAGACACAGGAGACUCAGGUUUGAUCCCUGGGUCAGGAAGAUCCCUUGGAGGAGGAAAUGGCAACACACUCCAGUAUUCUUGCCUGGAGAAUCCCAUGGACAGAGGAGCCUGAUGGGCUACAGCUCAUGGGGUCUCAAAGAGUUGGACACGACUGAGCACAAUGCUCUUUUGAUGCUUUACCUAGAUUGUUGCAAUAGCCUGGGAAUUGGUUCCUCUGCUUCUGUUCCUAACAACCCCACCCCAAAAUUACCAAGGUAUUGUUUUUAAACAGAUUUAGACAUGUUAUUACUCCCGUUACUCCCACUAUUUCUCCAUUAAAAACUCCCGUUAUUUAAAAGAGACUUCUGUGUUUCUUCAUUGAUUACCAGAUACAAUCUAAAUGUCUUGGUCUGAGAUUUAAGAUCUACAUUUCCCAUCUCAUCGUUUACCACUAGCCCUGUGUUCUAGCUACACAGUAU
ensembl:lncRNA